AUACCUUUCUCGGCCUUUUGGCUAAGAUCAAGUGUAGUAUCUGUUCUUAUCAGUUUAAUAUCUGAUACGUGGGCCAUCGGUUCACAUGAUAUUAAAUUAAUUUUUUGAGGGUGAGAGGCUCAUCACAAUAGCUUGCUAUUGGAGUCUCUUGAGCGUCGCCUUGGCGUUGCACUACUGCCUUGGCCUGGCGCACCCCAC